rnacentral:rRNA from 1 species
GAUGAACGCUAGCUACAGGCUUAACACAUGCAAGUCGAGGGGAAACGACAUCGAAAGCUUGCUUUUGAUGGGCGUCGACCGGCGCACGGGUGAGUAACGCGUAUCCAACCUGCCCAUCACUUGGGAAUAACCUUGCGAAAGUAAGACUAAUACCCAAUGACAUCCCACGAAGACAUCUGAAUGGGAUUAAAGAUUUAUCGGUGAUGGAUGGGGAUGCGUCUGAUUAGCUUGUUGGCGGGGUAACGGCCCACCAAGGCAACGAUCAGUAGGGGUUCUGAGAGGAAGGUCCCCCACAUUGGAACUGAGACACGGUCCAAACUCCUACGGGAGGCAGCAGUGAGGAAUAUUGGUCAAUGGGCGAGAGCCUGAACCAGCCAAGUAGCGUGCAGGGUGACGGCCCUAUGGGUUGUAAACUGCUUUUAUAAGGGAAUAAAGUGGGUCUCGUGAGACUUUUUGCAUGUACCUUAUGAAUAAGGACCGGCUAAUUCCGU